ensembl:lncRNA
GUGUGAGAGCCCCGUGUGUGUACUGUAUGUGUGAGAGCCCCAGUGUGUGUACUGUAGGUGUGCUUUUGGAUCCCCUUUUUCCAUUACUUGAACUCUACUUGGGCAAUAACAUGUUUUCUCUGCAUUGUUGCCUUUUCCUCUCCUCUCUUUCUUCUCCUGCUUUCUGAGGUACUGUGCUUUAAUCGUACAAAACCUUACAAGACAGAAGCUUUAGCUAGAGUCGUGUCUUCCUUAUGCAGCUGGGCCUUUAUAUUCAGAUUCUGCUUUCACUAGAAUGUCUUUGUUUAUCACUUUCCACAUUUCUUCCCAUUUUGUCUCAUCUCUCCUGAAAGGGCCUUAGUACUCCUUAAGCUGCUCAUCC